GGCGGCGCCGAGGGUUGCGCCCGCGGCGUUGGUUGUGCCCGCGGCGUUGGUUGGGCCUGCAAUCGCACCCCACCCAAUCAGUUGCUUAUACAGUUGCAAGGUCAACGUUAUGUUGUUCGCAGAGAGAGAACAAAAUAAUGGAAAACAAGAAAAUGCCCAGAGACGGAAACGGAUCAAAGAUGAUGCAACACAAGCAAUGAACAGCCAAUGGCAGGAGCUUCAGAACUCGACAAGACUCGAUGGGGGUAGAGAGAGAGAGAGAGUACCAUGAGGAUUGCUGAGCGUCAAAUCGAAAGACCGACCUUCUUGAAUUCUUGGGCCUUCUUCUGCAAUCAAAAUGAGAAAAGAAAGGAGUUUGGUAAAAGACCGCUCUUCAAUACGGCCAUGUGACGCUUAUCUCGGAGCGUCUACCAAUCUUCGCUUAAAAAAAUUGAUGACAGUGCAUUGGUUUUAGCAUGUUGGCCUUUGCGGUUCACCAAAACCACAUUGACCCAAAAGCAGUCACCUUCUCCCGUACAAGAACAUCAAAUCAGAUUACUGUUCAAAGGGGAAGACUUCCCCGCAACAGCAAGUCAAGAUUCCAGAACCAGACCGAGCCUUGAAUCGCGAGCGCCUUCAUCCCUCAUUUCUUCCAACACCCCAUCAAAUAAUGAAGAAGAAGAAGAAGGAGAAGAUGAAGAUGAUGAUGAUGAAGGGUGUAACGUGCCUGUGAAGGUUCUUGGUGGGUCUCUGCGGCGACGGACGGAAGGACGGAUCGGCUCGGGCUCGCUUGGGACGGAAGGCCUCGUUUCCCUCCCGAUGCUGCUCGUGACAAUUCGCGCGAACAGAGAGCUGGAGAGCAGUUCAAGCUUCCCCUUUUGAGAUCGGGAGAAGAGCGCGCGCGUGCGUGCGUGGUUGGACUGGUGUGCGGUUCUUGCUUUCUGUUGUGAGGAAGUACAGUCCCUACGUAAAUUCUCUUUUUUAUUCUUUUUCUUUUCCUCUUUUUUUUUUUUUUUCCCCUGGGGCCAACGUGUCCAAGUUCCGUGAUUCUAAUGAUUAAUUUAGACCAGGUAAAAUUCUCUUUUGUCCAAGUUAGACCAGGUAAAAUUCUAAUGUCCAAGUUCUUGCUUUCUGUUGUGAGGAAGUACAGUCCCUACGUAAAUUCUCUUUUUUAUUCUUUUUCUUUUCCUCUUUUUAUUUUUUUUUUCCCCUGGGGCCAACGUGUCCAAGUUCCGUG
rnacentral:lncRNA from 1 species